rnacentral:rRNA from 1 species
UACGAAGGGGGCUAGCGUUGCUCGGAAUCACUGGGCGUAAAGGGCGCGUAGGCGGCUUUAUAAGUCGGGGGUGAAAGCCUGUGGCUCAACCACAGAAUUGCCUUCGAUACUGUAGAGCUUGAGACCGGAAGAGGUAAGUGGAACUGCGAGUGUAGAGGUGAAAUUCGUAGAUAUUCGCAAGAACACCAGUGGCGAAGGCGGCUCACUGGUCCGAUACUGACGCUGAGGUGCGAAAGCGUGGGGAGCAAACAGG